ensembl:lncRNA
UUUUUUUUUUUUUAAUGUUUUGUAGACACAGGGUUUUGCCAUGUUGCCCAGGCUGGUCUCAAACUCCUGGGCUCAAGUGAUACUCCAGCCUCAGCCUCCCAAAGUGCUGGGAUUUUGGCAUGAGCCACCGUACCCGGCCACACUGGUACCUUUACACUCUGGCUUGUGGCUACUUUCCCGGCCUCAUCUCCCAGCCCCACCUUGUACAUCAGCAUCCCAGAACUAUCAGCACUGACCCCAAUACGUCAUGCUUGUUCGCUUCCCCCGGUUUUUACCCAAGUUGUUCUUUGGCCCCACAAGCCUUUUUCACGCCCUUCAUCACCCGGAAGAUGCCCACUCAUCUCUUUAAGACCCAGAAUGGGCAUCAUAUUUUCCACAAAGCCUCCUCCGAGUGCUGCCCACUCCUGGCAGUUGGUCACUCUGUCCACUGUGUGCCACGGUACCCACUGUGGUUCCCAUUCCAGCACCAAUUGCCCUGCCUGGAUGGCGGUGUUUGAUGACAAUAAACUGCUUGAGAGCAGGGCUAGAGUCUGUUUCACCCCUGGGUACCUGGAUCCUAACACUUCCCAGUACCUUAGCAGAUGGCCAAAAAUGGCAACGGGCCAGUGGCUGAAUGAAUGAGUGACAGACACAUGAGUCUGUAAGCCCCAGGGCUUCUCCUGCACACCAGACACCAUGUCUAUGCUUCACUAUUUGUGUAAUUAUGUGCUUCCUCCCACAAGAGUGUAAGCUCCAAGGGCCAGUGCCCAUGUUUUAUGCUGUAUUUCAGCAUAUCUCCACCUCUUACUCUUGUCUCCGAGUUCCUGUCUUCCCUUUGUAGGCCAUUCACGUUAGGGUCCUGCUUAAACCCAUUCCAUGGCCCUCACCAUCCCUAGAAUAAAAUCUAAACUCCUGGCCUAUGAGUACCUGCACAAUCUGGCCCUGUCUGUGUCUCCAGCCUCACCUUGGUCCCUGCUCACCUGCCUCACUACCCUUCAGCCCUCGCUGCAAGCUCCUUCCUGCCCCCGGGCCUUUGCAAGUGCUGCUCUGCCUGCCACACUCCACCCCAGCUCCGCCCUGCUGGCUUCUUCUCAUCCUUUCACUGUCCACUGAAAUCUCUUCCUCACAACUGGGUUAGGCUCCGUUGAUAGAGCAUUUCAUAGCAUCUCAUUUCUCCUAUAGCCUAACUGUAAUUUAUUGUGUAUGUACAUGAUCGAUUAAUGCCUGUCUCAUGCACAAGAUGUUUACUCUAUGAGAUGUCGGGACCCCUGGCUGUUUUCCUGCCUCCUGCACGCUGAGCACGGAGCACAAUGCCUAGCUUUUUAAGGCGCACAAAUAAAUUGCCGGUAAUGAAUGAACGAGGAGGCCCUUUCUGUGCCUCGUUCGUGUCCCCUGCUCCAAUGCCUUCUUACAUACCUGUGCCUGGUACACAGUAGGUGCUUAAUAAGCCUUUGUGGAAUAAUGAAUGAAAAAAAUGAAUGAAUGCCCGCGUCCAACCCUUCUUUCUGCCUUUCUGCGUCCCUUAGCUGUGUCUCUUUAUAUAGGGCAUAUAUAUAGUUUGUGGGUGUAACUAUGUAUUUGUGUAUUAUGGGCUCCUCUCCAGGAGUUGGGCUGGGCUGGGAGUCCCUCCCUCCCCUCCCCGCGCCCCGCCACCCCAUGCACACAGCAAAACGUGAAAAAGAAAACAUCUCGAAACUGCAAAAAACACCAUGGCCCUCCCCCCUCCCCAUAGAGCCCACAAAAAAAUAAAACACGACGCUCCCUCACAGCAGCCCCCUCCCUCCCCUGCCCCCUCCCUCGGGGUCCCUGCUUCGGAGGGGAGGAGGGCGGGAGGGUGGGCGGGGCGGGCCCAGCAGUCUCCAGCGCGCUCACGGGGAAAGCGGGGCGCCCCUGACCCCGGCAGCCUCGAUGCACGCGCGCCCGCGCACGCGCCCCGGACAC